CGGGGCGUGGCCGGCGCGGCAGGUGGAGGCGUGGCCGAGAGCGGCGGGGCCGGACAGCAGCCGCGCAGUGCGCCCCGGACGCCGGGGACAAGGGUCCCAGGGGAGCCCUGAGCCAUUACCUGACGGCGCCUUUCGACUCCCGUUUCCCCAACGCCAACCAGACCCGCAACUGCUUCCAGAACUACCUGGACUAUCACCGCUGUGUGUAGGCCUUGACGGCCAAGCGCCGGGACGUCACCCCGUGUCUGUGGUACUUCCGGGUCUUCAAGUCCCUCUGCCCCACUUUUUGGAUCCGGCGCUGGGACGAGCAGCGGGAAGAAGGGACCUUCCCGGGCAGGAUCUAGGCCUGGGCGCCAGCCGGCCUGCGCGACCCCAGGCGUCCCCGCGGCCCCCCUGCCUCCGGCCUCCUUCCCCGCCGGGGGACCGCCGCGCUCGCCGCUGCCUCGCAAUAAACCGCCCGUGUCCUUCGUUCCCGCGUCUGUCCGCGCUGCGCAUUGCCUGGCCCCGGCCAGCCCUGCCGCUCCGCGCCCUCGAGCGGGGCGGCCUCAGCGCCGCCGCCGCGCACGUGCCGGCCGCCCCCCUCGGCCGCCGCGCACCCGCCACCCGCCCCUCCCCGCCGGCCCCCUCCCAGCCCCCCGGCCGGCGCUCGGCCCCGCUUCCUGGCCCGGCUCGCCCUUUCCUGCCCCCCCGCGCCGCGCCGCGAAGGGAAAUCCUCGCUCAGUGACCGCCGGAGCCGAGCCGGAGGCGCGCAGACAAAGAGGGGCGGCGGAGCCCCGCGGCGGGCUGCAGGCCGGGGGGCCAUGGGGCAGCGCCGGGAGCCCCCGCGCCGCCGCUGAGCACCGGCACCGCCAGGGAUCUGCCACGAGACUGGGAGCCGCCCGGGCCGGCGCCAUGUUCCCGGAGGAGCGCAAGGAGGGCAGCCCCCGCUUUGGGAAGCUCCACUUCCCCGUCGGCCUCUGGAUCAACUCGCCCAAGAAGCGCCUGGCCAAGAUGAGCCGCCGCUGGCCCAGCGUCGGCUCCGUCAAGUCGACCUCGUCGGACACGGCGAGCCGCGGCAGCGAGACGGUGGAGCUGCGGCCCCCCGGCAAGGGCAAGGCCGCGCGGCACAAGCGCCUCUCCCACCUCUUCCACCGCGGCGGCGGCGGCGGCGGCGGCGCGGGGGGGGCGGCGGCGGCGGGCGGCGGGCGCUGGGCCAGCGAGAAGAAGCUGGCGGAGCUGGCGGACCCCGCGCCCGAGGGGGACCCCGCGGCGGCGGCGGAGGGGGGGCCGCGGGGGCCGCGCCAGCCGCCCGGCAUCCUCAAGAUCUUCGGCGGCGACCUGUGGCGCGGCGCCAACUACAAGAGCGUGCUGGCGACGCCGCGCUCCACGGCGCGGCAGCUGCUGCGUGAGGCGCUGGAGCGCUACGGGCUGCCGCCCGAGGCCGGGCCGCCCGGCGCCUUUGUGCUCUGCGACGCCGUGGGGCGCGCGGCGGGGCCCGGCGGCGCCUGGCAGGCCGAGCACCUGCGGCCCCUGGGCGACGCCGAGCGGCCCCUGGUGCUGCAGGACGUCUGGAAGCCCAAGGCCGGCUGCUCGCGGCGCUUCGAGAUCCGCCGGCGCCAGGAGGUGGAGCGCGCCGCCGAGGCCGACGACGACGAGCCCCCCGGCGAGGCGCAGGCGCGGCGGGCGCAGCGGAGCCGCUCGCGGGCCGCCUCGGGGGGCCCGGCGCCGCCCAAGGAGCGCGCCGACAACCUCUCGCUGCGGCGCAGCAUCAGCGACAUGAACCUCAGCGCCAAGAAGCGCCGCGAGCGCAAGAGCGUGCUCAGCGUGGCGGGGGGCGACGCCGGGCCCCCCCUCGCCGCCGACGCCCCCGAGGAGCCCCCGGCCGAGGCCGCCGCCGCCGAGGAGCCGCCCGAGGCGCUGGAGCAGCUGGCGCAGAGCCUGCUCCGCCCGCCCGGCCGCCACCCCUACUUCCUGCUGCUGCAGGGCUACGGCCCCCAGGAGCCGGUGCUGCACGUGGUGACGCGGGCGCGGCACGUCCUGGGGCGGCGCGGGGCGGGCGGCCCCCCCCCGGACACGGCGCUGGAGGCGCCCGACCUGCUGCCGCGGCACUGCGUGGUGCGGGCGGGCGAGCCGGCCCUGGUGCGGCCCUGCCGCGGCGCCGCCGUCACCCACAACGGGGCCCCGCUGCUGCGGCAGGCGCCGCUGGCCCCCGGCGACCUGCUGGGGCUGGGCCAGCACGUGCUGCUGCUCUACCGCGACCCGCGGGCCGCCGCGCCCCCCCCGCGGCCCCCCUGGCUGCCCCCCGCCGCCCCCGCGCCCGGCCUGGCCGGCGCCCUGGGCUGCCCGGGCUGCGGGCGCUCGCCGCAGGAGCGCCUCGAGGCCCUGCGCGCCUACGCCCAGAGCCGCCGGCCCGAGCUGCGCUUCCGGCCCCAGGAGGAGGAGGCGCUGCUGCGCGAGAUCGUCCGCCUGCCCUCCUCCUCCUCCUCCUCCUGCUCCGCGGGGGCCGGGGGGGGCGCCGGGGGGGCCGGCGGCGUGGGGCUGGCGCCCGCCUUCCUGCUGGGGCUCUGCCUGGAGCACGCCGCCCGCGCCCUGCCGCCCGACCACCUGCCCGCCCUGCUGGCCCGCGUCGCCCGCCUCGUCAAGGAGGCCGUCUGGGAGGAGAUCAAGGAGAUCGGGGACCGGCAGCCCGAGAACCCGCAGGAGGCGGCCGCGGAGGCGCCGGGCGUGGCGGAGGUGGCGGCGGAGCUGCGGCCACUGGUGCUGUGGCUGGCCAACGCCACGGAGCUGCUCAACCUGGCGCAGGGCCGCGUGCUGGAGCUGGAGAGGGAGCUCGAGCCCGACCUGGACGGCCCCGACCCCCUGCUCGCCGGCGACCUGGAGGCCUGCGACGAGGCGCUGGCGGUGCUCGACGAGGUCAUCAUGUCGACCUUCCAGCAGUGCGUCUACUACCUGACCAAGACGCUGUACGCGGCGCUGCCGGCGCUGCUGGAGAGCGACCCGUUUGCGGGGCCGGGGGAGCCGCGGGCGGCGGCGGGGCUGGACGGCCUCCCCGAGGGGCUGCGGCCGGCCCUGGCCGUCUACGCGGCCGCCCUGGAGCUGGGCCGCGACUGCCAGCUGCACCCGGCGCUGGUCUCGCAGACCUUCGGCUACCUCUUCUUCUUCUCCAACGCCUCCCUCUUCAACACCCUCAUGGAGAGAGGCUCGGCGGCCCCCUUCUUCCAGUGGUCGCGGGCCGUGCGCAUCCGCACCAACCUGGACCUGGUGCUGGACUGGCUGCAGGCGGCGGGGCUGGGCGACAUCGCCGCCGAGUUCUUCCGCAAGCUCUCCGCCACCGCCAACCUGCUCUGCACCCCCCGCAGCAGCCUCAGCCAGGCGACCUGGGCCCGGCUGCGCGCCGAGUACCCGGCGCUGACGCCGGCGCAGCUGCACCACGUGCUCAGCCACUACCAGCUGGGGCCCGGGCAGCCCUGCCCCGAGGGCUGGAGCCCCCCGGCCGAGGAGCGGGAGCAGAUCGCCGCCGGCGACAUCUUCGAGAGCUUCACGGAGCACCCGCCGCUGCUGCUGCCGGCCGAGGGCUUCCGGCUGCGGCCCGGCGAGGCGGUGAGCGACGAGGGGCUGCACCGGCACCUCUGCCGCCUGCGCCGCUUCCUCUGGGAGCUGGAGCAGGGCUCGCUGCCCGCCAACCAGCGCGCCGCCUACGGCCUCGAGGGCCCCGCCUGACGCCGCCUGACGGCCCUCCGGGCACAGGCGGCACCCCCGGGGAACAGGCGGCCGCCCCUGGGGAAGAGCCGGCCGCCCCCCAGGGCACAGGCGGCCGCCCCCGAGGGACAGGCAGCAUCCCCAGGGCACAGCCGGCCACCCCCGAGGGACAGUCAGCAU